CCAGGAAUUCACCCAGGCAGUGCGGAGCUGAUACGUGACUUGCUUCCCUUUUAGCCCUUUGGCAAACUGGCCUAGGAAGCAGGUCUCCUGCUGGUGGGCAAUGGGAAAAGUGCCUGGGGGCCUUCUCGUGCUUCGGGGAGGGGAGUGUGAGCCUUGGGAGAGACAAAAACGUUGUUGAUCUUUCUUUCGAGUGAAGGUGCCGUGAGUCCACUAGCGGGCCAGCUGGGUGCUGGGAGCUUCAUCACGGCAAGGGUACUUCAGUGCAAAGCUACAGAAAUCCGGGUUCGUGAAGUUUCUGGUGACCGGACUGAAAGAGAAAACAGCACAUGUGAGAGCACAGAAUGGAAAUUGCUCAUAUCAUCUAUGAGAGGGGACAAAAGGAUUUUGUGAAUGUCUCUCAGCAAAGAAGGGAAAGCCAUGUAACACAUUGGUAUGUUGACUGAGAUGAGUUAUUAUUUACGGAGCACCGCAAGUGUACAUCAUAUUUUACAGACACCUACAAAAGAAGAUUCCUGCUCAGAGGAGUCUGCAAUCUAAUCCAGACAAAUGUAGGCUAAUAACUCAAAAGGAAGAGGAAGAAUGGCUAUCCUUGGCAUGGCGAUCAAAGUUGGAAGGCUUCAUUAAAGACUUGGGUUUUCAGGGCAGAUUUGAAAGAAGAUUAAAGGUUGUUUGGCAUGAAAGAAGGCAGCUUCUCUAAGUGUAGGAGUGACAUGAAAGAAGGUGUGAAGUGAAAAGUGAGAGAAGGCAACAAAUGUAAUCUGAGUCUGGUGUAAAUUAGGAGUAACUCCAUUGAAUUCCAUGCAGUUUGAUGAGUGUAAAACAGUGGGAGAUCUGAAUAAGCCCCCAUGCCACAGUCUAUAUCACAUAUCACAACCAAUAAGACAGCUCAUGAUAGACUUUCCCUUCGUUACAAGGCAUGAAGUCUGUGGGGCCAUUGCUGCCACCUUGCACCAAUGCAAAUUUUAACUGAACAAAAUUAUAUCUCUUUUCAUCCUACUUACCUAUAUUUAUAUUCCAUUAGCAUCCUCUCAGCCUCCAACAUCAUUAACAUCCCUAGAACUGCUGAACCCGUACACCACCUGCCCUCAUGGAUCGGCACUUCUCUGUCUCAGGUUUUUUUAUAAUGCCCAUCACCAAAGUAUGGAAUGCACAUCAGAUGGCUUUGUUCCUAAUAAUUACAGUUGGUGAAGUCACAGACUUGAAGGGUCUAUCAGGGUUGUUGCAAGCAGGCAAAGAACUAAGAGGCUCAGGAACUCUAAGGCUAUGGAUAGGAUUUUGGGACAGAAGGAGACUAAGACUGGGAAGCAAGUAUACAGAAGGUUGGCUGAGGGGCGCGGGUGGGAUUCAGGUGGAAAGGUAGAGGCAAUGCUAAAGUGGGAGAGAUGGGUAUCUCAGAGAAAGGUAAUUAUUCGAAGCAGCAACUCAGUUUUGGGAGAUGAUAACAUCUGAGUAAUUUUCCCCUUUGUUUCUCCAGUGUUUAAUGGUGUUAUUGGAGGGUGAUUCCAAGAGUUAAUGGUCUGGUGUUCCAAUGAAUCUGAUCAUAUUCAGAAAAUGUUUUCAUUCCCCUCCUGUUUUCUCUUCUACUGUGUUUUAGAAUUUUAAUUUUGAACUUUUUCCCCCCAGAUAUUUUCCAGGUAGAAGAUCCUCUUAAUCUGCUUAGUUUAGGAAAAAAUAUCCCAAUGUGUUAAAGAAAGAAAGAUGUCAAGGAAUGCCAUAUAUUGUAGAAAUAUACAAAGUGUAAUGGGGGAGGUUGGAUUUCUUCUCAACAUCAGCCCCAGAUUUUUUUUCCUGCAAUGUUCCUGAUGUAAUAAUGCCAUGGGUUUGAUUUUCCAAUCUGUUCACAUUCCACAUGGAUGGAGUGGAAGGGGAAGGAUGUGGGGGGAGUGUCACAUUGAGCUGGUUGCAGUUCCCUGAUUGAGAGCUGCCCAGCCUCAGCGCAAUUGAAAGGUACACAAGGGCAAUUAAUUUAUGCCACUGCCAUAUGGUUCCUGAGGGAUCUUACAUCAAUGGAGGAACAGGCAUAAUUGAGCUUCACUUCACCACACCUCUUCCCCGUUACCUAGAUGCCCUGCCCAACAGAAUGCCCUCAAUAUGCCCUUACACUGGGGACAAUGAGAUGGCUAGCACAUGCCACACUUCCGCCAGCAGAGAGUUCCCCUGCAAAGGAGGAGUACAGCGCUGGUUAUCUCCAGCCAUUUUAAGGCCAUUUUGCCCUGCUUACAUGGCACAAAGUGGCCUUAGUGGACUUGAGAGCCCUGUAACCUGAAGGUUGCAACAUGCAUUGGUCAGAUGCCUACAUUGCAGGGUUAUAUGUAAUUUGUGAUUUUAACAGUAGCCCUGAAAAUGGUAUCAGAAAGGGAGGUAAAUAUUAUAGGUCAAAUCCUCAGCUGGUAUGAAUGGGAGCAGUGCAUUGCCUUCAGUGGAGCUUGGUGCAGUUUCACCCGCUGAUGACCUGGCAUUUCCCAUUCACAUGUAUUUGCUAAUGUUGGAACUCUGCAGAUACUACUUAACAUUGCUUAUCCAGGGAUGGAUAAACUCUUUUUGCCUCCAUUCGAGACCACUUGAACAUCGUGGGUUUGACAGGUGAGCCUGAACUCUUAACAUUUAUUGGGACCAUAUUCCACCUAGGAGAGCCUGUGGAAAAAGCAGCUAUGGAUGGUAGGUAGAGAGAAAAAGUUUAAGAACAAAUUAGCUAUAGUGUAGAGAAUGGCUGAGAUUUUCAGAGAAGUCUAGAGGAUUUGGAUACCCAGUUCACAUUAAUUUUAAUUGGGCAUUCAAAUCCCCUAGGCAGCUUUGAAAAUCUCUGUCAUCCUCUACAAGUCACUUGUGUGGCUAGAGCUCAUGCUCAAAUAAAUUGGUUAGUCUCUAAGGUGCCACAAGUCCUCCUUUUCUUUUUGGGGAGGGGGUUAUUCCAUCCAUAAUAUACACAAUUCAGAUUUCCCUUUAAUUAGGAAAGCUUUAAUAAAACCUAAGGAGCUUUGUAAUGAUAUCUCAUAUUUUCCCCCUACCUUUCUGUCCUCAAUUAUAUCUUGUCUAUCUUUUCAUGCCAACUCCAAUAUUGUCCCACUUCUCGUUAGUUGCACAUUUUGAAUUAAAUUGCACUUCUGUACUCUCACCACUAACAUACCUCCAGCCUUAUUUCCUCCAUUUAAUGUACGCUCCUCUCUGUGCCUGGGAGUUAAAAUCUCCCACUAAUACAACUCUGCCCUUUUGCCUGCUUUUUUAUUUGAGCAGUGAUUUCACACUCCAGUUGUUCUUUUUGGAUAAGUGGCCAAUAACAUUCAUAUAGCUAGUUUACUCUCUGAAACAUUUCAAUUAUCAGGCCAUAAUAACUCUACAUCAUUACCAGUUACUUCCACAUUUCUUCUUGCAUGAAACAACAGAUUUAUAUAAGCAAAAUAAUGUUCCUUCUCUCAUUCUGCAUGUUCCUCUGUGUGACCUCAACACUCAAGGGUUCUUUCAUUCAGAGUUAUUAUCUGGGCUUCCCAUGUACAAAAGUGGGCUGCACUGAUUUCUUCACCCUUUUGACCUUGUUCAGAAGCUCAGGACAGUCAUAUCACCAAGAAUCCUGUCCUCAACAAGCACCUUUUGAUGGCAAUGCAGGCUCUGAGUGCUCAGAUACCUCUGAUAAUCAGAUAAUAAAUACUUUAGCUAGAUAAAUGAGACAGAUGUCUUCUCUGCAUGCUUUCAUGUGAAGAGGAUGAUACUGUGCUCACUAAGGUAUGCUAGUUUCACCUCACUAAAGAUGCCAAACGAAGAUGGGAUUAGUAGGGUGGACUGCCUCAUUCAACAUGAGACAUCACUUCUGUUAUCUCUCCUAUUCUCUUUACAACAAAGCUACAUUGCCAUCACAAAUCCCCUUAGAUAUGAGCACACCUGUUGUUACUUUAAUAUGCCAAAGUCAACGAGCUAAAGGCUGGAGUAAAUCCUCAUCUGGUGUAAAUCUACAAAACUCCAUUCACUUAAAUACAACAACAGCAAUUUACCCCAGCUGAGGAUCUUGGUCCUAUUAGAAAAAAUAACAAGAUGUUCACAGGAACUCUUGACUGUUGUACUGUAGCUUCACAACUUAGUAAUGUAAUAUAAUGGGUUUACAAGACAACACUGUAAAAUCCCGCUGUAUAUUGUGUUGCAUGAGAGUACAGCCUGCAGAGACUCUUUGCAGGCAAGGCAAUGGCCCCAAGGAAAUUGCUCAAGAACAAAGGACUCACAGUAAGACAGGAUAAGGCACAAGUGGUGCAACUAACCUGAGAAAUGGGCAAUAUACCGCAAGAAAAUAACUUUGACUGAGUCCAUUCACAUAAGGUGAAAUCCUGGCCUGACUUGAAAUUAUGCCAAACUCCCACUGACUUCAAGAGGACCAAGAUUUUAGCCCUAGUCUUUGUUGCUCUUUGAUAUGAUGCAACGUAAGAAUCAGACUUUGCAAAUAUUGAUUCUGCAAAAGAUUGAUUUCAUCAUCCCUGAUGGUGUGAUGAUAGGUGCAGCAUAUAGUGGAGAGCAAGAAUAUGCUUUCUUCUGUAAAUAUUAUAUUAUCAUCAAAAGAGAAUUUAUUGGAGGUAAAAAGAAAAGGAGUACUUGUGGCACCUUAGAGACUAACCAAUUUAUUUGAGCAUGAGCUUUCGUGAGCUACAGCUCAAAAUUGGUUAGUCUCUAAGGUGCCACAAGUACUCCUUUUCUUUUUGCGAAUACAGACUAACACGGCUGUUACUCUGAAACCUGUCUUUAUUGGAGGUGAUAAUGAAGUAGGAGACAGAAGAGAAAAUUCAUUUGUUCUCUCUCUUAUUAUGCAUGGUGGACCAGAUCCUUAGCUGGUGUAAUCUUGCAUAGCUUUCUGGAGCUACAUCAGUUUACACCAGCUGAGAAUCUGGCUCCUUAUCUUUUUAGCUAAUACUGAGAAGGAUUAUAAUGGUUAUAAAGGUGGCCUACAGAAUCAGCUUGCAUGAACUGGGAGCUGAUAUGCAAUAUCUCUUUCUGUUAGGAAACUGUAGUUGGCAAACCUGGUUAUUUUCACUCAAAAUAUAUUGCAACCGUGUGUGCAAUUUUAGCUGUCUUUAUGCUUCUAAAUUUAAUUUUAACAUGAUGCUUCAAAUUGGCUACACUUAUUUUUCUUUUAAAUAAACUGAACAACAACAUCGCUUUUAUUUAUUCCCUACCCCAAGUUACAUAUGGCAAUUCAGUGCUUAUUGUUUGCACAGAACAUAUCAGAACACUAGCAUGAGCAAUUCCCUAGCAAUGAGUCUUACUUAUUCUCACUCAGAAGAGCUUUUAGGCCUUUAUUGAAAAGCAAGUAGGUAAAAGACUAACAGCUGAUGCAACUGUCUGCCUUUACCAGAUUUUUAUUGUGCAUGCUUUAGAUUUUGCUAUUAAUGUGUAUGGUCUUUUUAUAACUAUGUGUUAGUUGCUUUAGAAAUGUAGACUUAUAUUUAAUCAUAGCAGCACACCCAAACUUUCCAUUGGGUUGGGGACCUCUACUGAGCUACUCUCAGAGCAUCUAGAGGGAAGGAGAGAGCCACUUCAAAUGAAUGCCCUUUCUUCCUGGAAAAAAUAUUCUUUGCGUUUUCCUCAAUAGACAUGGGAUGUUUCCAAAGAUACUGUAGUCUCACAAAUGAGUCAGCCUUCUGUGGCCAAGAAUAUUAUUCAGUUUCUGCAUGACCUGUUACAGCACAUUCAGUCAUUCACAAAGGGCGCAAUCCUGUCUUGCGUUGGGAGUUUGAGGCACUCAACACCUCCAGCAGUUGCUCAGCACUCUGCAGGAUUGAGCCCCAAGUCACCUUACUCUCAUUCUGUAAUAGUAACAAAAUGCAUUUAUGUUGCCUUUGCGACAAGUAUAUAGCAAAGAGAUACAGUACACAGAACUGGAGGUACCUCGACAACAUGAAAAUGCUAGCUAGAUAUUAGGUAGUAGAUUUUUUUACAGGUGCCCAUCACCACAGUAUCUGAGCACAGAGAGGGAGGAUGUGAUGCUAGGAAACUUUUUCACUUUGUUUUGAAUUAAACCUUCACCUUAAAAAAAUAAAUCAAGAAACAAACAAAGAGAUUUCAAGAUCAUUAUUCUUGCUUUAAAAAACAAACAAACCAUAACCAUUCUCAAAAAUUGUUU